rnacentral:rRNA from 1 species
AACGCGAAGAACCUUACCAGGUCUUGACAUCCAACUAACGAGGCAGAGAUGCGUUAGGUGCCCUUCGGGGAAAGUUGAGACAGGUGGUGCAUGGUUGUCGUCAGCUCGUGUCGUGAGAUGUUGGGUUAAGUCCCGCAACGAGCGCAACCCUUAUCCUUUGUUGCCAGCGGUCCGGCCGGGAACUCAAAGGAGACUGCCAGUGAUAAACUGGAGGAAGGUGGGGAUGACGUCAAGUCAUCAUGGCCCUUACGACCAGGGCUACACACGUGCUACAAUGGCAUAUACAAAGAGAAGCAAACUCGCGAGAGCAAGCGGACCUCAUAAAGUAUGCCGUAGUCCGGAUUGGAGUCUGCAACUCGACUCCAUGAAGUCGGAAUCGCUAGUAAUCGUGGAUCAGAAUGCCACGGUGAAUACGUUCCCGGGUCUUGUACACACCG